rnacentral:rRNA from 1 species
UUGGAGGGCAAGUCUGGUGCCAGCAGCCGCGGUAAUUCCAGCUCCAAUAGCGUAUAUUAAAGUUGUUGCAGUUAAAAAGCUCGUAGUUGAAUUUCGAGACCGGCUUACUGGUCGUGCUAUUGUACGUACUGGUAUAAUCGGUUUCUCCUUUCUGACGAACUUUAAUGCCAUUAAUUUGGUGUUUUAGGGAAUCAGGACUGUUACUUUGAAAAAAUUAGAGUGUUUAAAGCAGGCUCACGCUUGAAUACAUUAGCAUGGAAUAACGGAAUAGGACGUUUGAUUCUAUUUUGUUGGUUUCUAGGAUCGACGUAAUGAUUAAUAGGGAUAGUUGGGGGCAUUAGUAUUCAAUUGUCAGAGGUGAAAUUCUUGGAUUUAUUGAAGACUAACUACUGCGAAAGCAUUUGCCAAGGAUGUUUUCAUUAAUCAAGAACGAAAGUUAGGGGAUCGAAGACGAUCAGAUACCGUCGUAGUCUUAACCAUAAACUAUGCCGACUAGGGAUCGGAUGAUGUUAAUUUUUUAAUGACUCAUUCGGCGCCUUACGGGAAAC